GUAGUCUCGCACAGAUGCAUAUCAAUAAGCGGAGGAAAAGAAACUAACAAGGAUUCCCCUAGUAACGGCGAGUGAAGCGGGAAGAGCUCAAAUUUGAAAUCUUAAAGGGUUUCCCUCUACGAAUUGUAGUUUAAAGAAGUGUUUUCUGUUGAGGUUUUGGUAAAAGUUCUUUGGAAUAGGACAUCAUAGAGGGUGAGAAUCCCGUAUUUGACCUUUACUUUCAACUUUGUGAUACAGCUUUCAAAGAGUCGGAUUGUUUGGGAAUGCAGUCCAAAAUGGGUGGUAAAUUUCAUCUAAAGCUAAAUAUUGGCGAGAGACCGAUAGCGAACAAGUACCGUGAGGGAAAGAUGAAAAGAACUUUGAAAAGAGAGUUAAACAGUACGUGAAAUUGUCAAAAGGGAAGCGUUUGACACCAGUGUUGUUUUUCUGAAAAUCAAUUAAAGAACUGUUUAUGCUAAGCUGUUUAGACUUUAUCAGCUAAUCUGUUUAGUUUUGAGCUUUUCUUUAAUGCACUUUUCAGUUAACAAGUCAACAUCAAUUUCUUUUGCUGUAAAAAAGCUUGAGGAAGGUGGCUUGAGAUUCGUCUUAAGUGUUUAUAGCCUCUUGCCUAUGCAGUCGGAGAGAUUGAGGUCUGCAGCGUAGAUCCUUCGGGGCUAAAUGCAUUUGUGCUAAGUUAUAGCAUUUUAUAGACAACUUGUUGACUAUGAUUUGUCUUGUAGCUUACUCGCUUAUGUUAUUUUACCUACGCUUAGGAUGUUGAGUAGCGACAUACGCAC
rnacentral:rRNA from 1 species